ACAACCAGCAAAUUCCAAAGACUUCAAAAUCUCUUUCCUCUUCAGAAUUACCUUUUAAAAAAUAAAAAAUAAUAAAAAUAUAUAUAUAUAUAAAUAUUUUCAGUUCUUUGUUUAAAAGUUUGUGUUAAGUCAGUUUGGAAGUUUUUCGGGUUUCCCGAAAGGGAAACUUCACUCUGUUCUAAAGAAUGUAAGUUUUCAUAUUUACGUUUCUAGUAAACUUCCCAUAUAUGUAAAUUAUUUGUGUUUGGUAAAUUACAUGUGAUAUGUUAAUUAUUUGAUAAAUUCAUGAAUCUACAUUACUUAGUAUAUGGUUAGUCUCUUAGCCUCUUAAAAGUAUCGAUGGAUUAACCUGUAAAUUCCUAGGACAUUGUUAGGUUAAACUAAAUGUUCUUAGAGAAGAACUAUGAAUAACCAAAUCAGGGGUGUGGUUAAAGAAGAUUACUUUUAAGAACAAAAGCUAAGAGAAAGAGAUGAACAAUAAUACUAUUCAUGAGUGGACAAAGUCCAUAAAAAAAAGGGAAGAAAAACUAGAAACUAAUAUGAUAAUUACAUAAACAAUUUAAAAUUUUAACGAAUUUAUUGAAAAAGCCCCUACUUCUCACUUAUCUAUUGAAAUAUACCCUACUUUGAAAUAUCCUAUAUUUUGAAAUAUCUAUCCUAUAUUUUGGUGUGUGUGUGUGUAUAUAUAUAUAUAUAGAGAGAGAGAGAGAAAGAGAGAGAGAGAGAGAGCAGUGUCACAACAAAAAAAAUAAUUGACACUAUUUCUAAUAAUUUUAGUUGAAUUAAAUAUAAACCAUCAUGAAGAGGAGAACAUGCAGUAGAGUUUUGAUUCUUACAGAUGCAGUUCUACAUGUUCAAAAUAAUUCAAAACAUUAUUUAUUUGGUUAUUUGCAAAUCAUACCUGGAGGAAAUUAGGAUUCUUCUGUGUUGGCGAUAUUGCUACAGACUCCACCUCAGCAACAUUGAGGACUUGAUGGGAAAAAUCAAACAAUUCAAAAUGCAAUUGUUGCCCAAGCAGGUAGAUUAUUGUACAUCCACCCCAGGCAACUGAAUCGCCCAACAUUUCGUAAGUGUUUGAUUGUAGCUGAAUAGAUUCCUCCAGGUAUUCCUAUGGUUGACACAAAAUCAGAUCAACAGUUUACACCAAAGAUAAUUCCAUUAUCUCUGACUAUCAGAUUACUAAACAAGUUAAUAUGACAUAAGAAGACAAUUCUUCUGACACUGAACACUCGACUCUCUAUUAGACAAAAGUAGGAAAAAGGUCAAACAAAAGGGACAGAGGUAUUCUUUUCUCAAUCAGAAAAAGCUACCGGUAAUAAGUUGUAAUAAGUUGCAGGGAUUCAACAUAAACUAUGACAGUCCAACUGAUAAUUCUUGCUGAUGUAUUAACAGGUAAAUUUGUAACCAGAGACCAACAUGACGUGUGCACAACAAUUUGCUAUAUUGAGGAAUCAUUAGUGUUCAAAACCAAUUUAAAUGGGCAAUUAUAAGUGCAAUGAAAUUUAAUAAAAUAA
rnacentral:lncRNA from 1 species